rnacentral:rRNA from 1 species
UACGUAGGGUGCGAGCGUUGUCCGGAAUUAUUGGGCGUAAAGAGCGUGUAGGCGGCCAGACAGGUCAGCUGUGAAAACUCGAGGCUCAACCUCGAGACGUCGGUUGAAACCGUCUGGCUAGAGUCCGGAAGAGGAGAGUGGAAUUCCCGGUGUAGCGGUGAAAUGCGUAGAGAUCGGGAGGAACACCCGUGGCGAAGGCGGCCAGCUGGGCCGACCCUGACGCUGAGGCGCGAAGGCGUGGGGAGCGAACGGG